rnacentral:lncRNA from 1 species
GUGAUCACUAAUAAAUUUAAGUACAAUUACGUGCUAUAUUUUUGCAAAGGAGAGAGCCCUUUAGGAGUGAGGAAAAUAAUUCAAAAGAUAUCAGACCCAGUGUAAGACUCUCUCAGGCUAAUAAAAAAAAUACAUUUAAAUAUUAAUCAUAACUUUUCACAUUCCUCAUUUAUUUAUAGAAAGACCUCUCUUGACUGAUGCUGGAAGUUACGGAGCUGCUGAAGCUUAGAUAGAUAAUACCGUAGUUAAAGAAACCACGAACUCUAAUAAACACCAAUCAAGUCACGUAUUUUCUAUGGCACAACUAGAAGGUGCUAUAAUAAAGAUAAUGCAAGAAUAGUGAAUACAAUGAAGAAAAUCUUGUCAUUCCUACUUGAGAGUGAGCAGGUGAAA